rnacentral:lncRNA from 1 species
GCUCUGGAGGAAAAGGACAGAAAAAGUAAACAAACGGCACACCAAACGUGGCAUAAAGUGGCACAGCACAGAAAGAAUCUAAGUAGGGAGGAUGUGGCCAAGAUUGCUGAAUGGAGGGAUUGCUCACAGGAAAUGUGACGAUGAGUAAGACCGGCCUGGACCUCCGGAAGCGGACAACUCAGGAGCACAGUGCAGAGCAGAGGAAGUGCUCGAUUCAGUUAAACGGGCUUGGAGCGCUUGCGUCACUUGCCGUGUUACAGGCAGGUUUCCCAGAGGCAGCCCCAUCAAGCUGGGAGGCCAAGGUAAGCAGAACAGAGCGUGUUGGAAACAUCUCCUCUACUGGACGGACCAAAGAUUUAUUCCGUGAGCUUAAGAGUAUUGUUACAUGCCCAGGGACAUCUCCAUUCCCUCCUACAACAGCCAAGGAAAGCAGAAGGAAAGCAGAAGACAGUGGAGGCCCAAAGCUAGACCAAGAAAUAGCUUGUCCCUGGGGGUGAGAAACUCAAGACCCAUCCUUUGAAUUCAUCAGGUCUCUGUGAAAUAGUCAUACUACCCAUCCACUCGUGACUUCUCAACAGCAUUCUAUUGCAUCCAGUAGAAACAGUGCCUAAAAAUGGUCAUUGGUAUGUCAACUGGUUGGCAUAGCAACCAGUGACUGGUUUUCCAAUUGAGGAUAUAAUUCUUUUAACCCACGUAGAACAGGUUAUCAGAUCUGGGGAUAGUGGCACAUGAUAGAAAACAGACCCCUUGUAAUUGUACUGCUGAUCCUUACGAGGUGGCUAUUAAAGGUAAACAGCAUAAAUCCGAUACAAUUUU